rnacentral:rRNA from 1 species
CGGCCGACACCGCGCCGUGUGACCGAGCUUUGUGUCACAUGAGUAGGAGGGCGUGGCGGGCGUGGCGAAGCAUGGGCGCGAGCCUGUGUGGAACGGUCCGCUAGUGCAGAUCUUGGUGGUAGUAGCAAGUAUUCAAGCGAGAACCUUGAAGGGCGAAGCGGGGAAGGGUUCCACGCGAACAUUGAUUGGGCGUGGGUGAGUCGUUCCUAAGCCGAGUGGCAAUUGCUAAGUAGCGGCGAAAGGGAAGCGGGUUGAAAUUCCCGCACACGGAUGUGGAGCGCGGCGACGCGGAAUGAGGGCGAACACGCUGGCGAUGGCGCUGGGCAGAGUUGUCUUUUCUGUUUGACCGAGUGUGCGGGCGGUGUGGAAUCCGCUUGUCGGGAGAAACACGCGCGCACGGGCAGAGCGCCGGGGCUUUUCCGGCGUCCAGCUCGCCAUCGACGGCCCUUGAAACUUUGCCUGCUGGUUUGAGAUCCACGCCGUGGCGUACCGAUCACCGCAUCAGGUCCCCGAGGUGAACAGCCUCUGCUCGAUAUGAACAAUGCAGGUAAGGGAAGUCGGCAAAUUGGACCCGUAACUUUGGGAAAAGG